rnacentral:lncRNA from 1 species
ACAGCCUCUUUACAAACUAACUUUGGGAACUCAGCCAACUUGUCCAUUGGAAACUGGAAUGAAAUGCUUUUCAUUUGUAUAGGGCUUUGUUCUUUCAAAAGCUCUCUUGGAUCCACUAUCUGGUCCAAUCCUCACAAUGACCCUGUUUCAGACCCAAGAAGCUUCCCUUUUGUUAUUGUGGCCAUAAAAGUUUCCCCUUUUUUUGGAGAGACCCGAUGACAUAAUGAGGUGAUGUCUUGACUCGUGUAUGAAUUGUACUUUAGAGGAGCAGAUUUGCACAAAGCCAUUAGCAUCAUUCCUCCAGAGUCAUCAAAUCCAACGACAAGGCAGAAGUCAGGAUAAUUGAUGAUGGCCCAAGAGACAGUGAACAACCUUGACAUCUUCGAUUUCUGACCAAACUCUAGCACUCCAGAGCACCUGCUUCAGCCACCUUCAUGGGCAUUAGAACAAACUGACCUCAUCUGCCCCUUCCACUGCUGGACAAAGUCUUCACAUGCCUGGGGUGAACACCCACUAACUCACUGCCAGGGUUGAGCCCUGUUAGUUACCCUAAACCUGGUUUGGCCUGUCUACCUACAUGGCUUACCAAAGUGUGUGAUUCAGCUUCUUGGAGUCACAGGUGAGAGUUGAGUGCCACAAAGGUGGACAAGCGGCCAUGAAAAGGGGGCAAAUCCUCAUAUCAGAGGUGCUAGUGCUCCUUGAACACCCAUACACCCCACUUACCAAGAGUAAAGCAAAAGACACUACGACAAUAAAUCUGCUAUUCCCUUAGCA